UGAAUACGAGACGCUACGGCGUCGAAGCAGUCUAUGUCAUACUUCCAAGAAAAGCUUGCACUGUCAUAAACAAAUAAUGCCUGUACCAUAACCGACACAGGUGGGUAGGUAGAGUAUACUAAGGGGCGCGAGAUAACUCUCUCUAAGGAACUCGGCAAAAUGACUCCGUAACUUCGGGAGAAGGAGUGCCUUAUUUAUAAGGUUGCAAUAACAAGAUCCAAGCAACUGUUUAUCAAAAACACAGGUCUCCGCUAAGUCGUAAGACGAUGUAUGGGGGCUGACGCCUGCCCAGUGCCAGAAGGUUAAAGAAGUUGGUUAGCAUUAGCGAAGCUGAUAACUGAAGCCCUGGUGAACGGCGGCCGUAACUAUAACGGUCCUAAGGUAGCGAAAUUCCUUGUCGGGUAAGUUCCGACCCGCACGAAAGGCGUAAUGAUUUGGAUACUGUCUCGGAGAGGGGCUCGGUGAAAUAGACUUGUCUGUGAAGAUGCGGACUACCUGCACCUGGACAGAAAGACCCUAUGAAGCUUUACUGUAACCUGAAAUUGAAAUUGGACUUUAUUUGCGCAGUAUAGGUGGGAGGCGUUGAGAAUAUUCUUGCGGGAAUAUUGGAGCCAUCAGUGAGAUACCACUCUUGUAAUGUUAGAUUUCUAACUUUGAAUCAUUAUCUGGUCAAAGAACAGUUUCAGGCGGGCAGUUUGACUGGGGCGGUCGCCUCCUAAAUGGUAACGGAGGCGCACAAAGGUUUCCUCUGAACGGGUAGAAAUCGUAUCUAGAGUGCAAAGGCAUAAGGAAGCUUGACUGUGAGACCUACAAGUCGAGCAGGGACGAAAGUCGGUCUUAGUGAUCUGACGGUGCUGAGUGGGAAGGCCGUCACUCAACGGAUAAAAGUUACUCUAAGGAUAACAGGCUGAUCUCCCCCAAGAGUUCACAUCGACGGGGAGGUUUGGCACCUCGAUGUCGGCUCAUCGCAUCCUGGGGCGGUAGUACGUCCCAAGGGUUGGGCUGUUCGCCCAUGAAAGCGGUACGCGAGCUGGGUUCAGAACGUCGUGAGACAGUUCGGUCCAUAUCCGGUGUAGGCGUUAGAAUAUUGAGAGGAGCCUUCUUUAGUACGAGAGGACCGAGAAGGACAUACCUCUGGUGUACCAGUUAUCGUGCCAACGGUAAAUGCUGGGUAGCUAUGUACGGAGAGGAUAACCGCUGAAAGCAUCUAAGUGGGAAGCCCACCUCAAGAUAAG
rnacentral:rRNA from 1 species